UACAGAGGUGGCAAGCGUUGUUCGGAAUUACUGGGCGUAAAGGGCGCGUAGGCGGUCUUGUAAGUCUUGUGUGAAAUCCCUCGGCUUAACUGAGGAACUGCACGAGAUACUGCGAGACUUGAGUUCGGGAGAGGAAAGCGGAAUUCCGGGUGUAGCGGUGAAAUGCGUAGAUAUCUGGAGGAACACCGGUGGCGAAGGCGGCAUCCUGGACCGGCAUUGACGCUGAGGCGCGAAAGCCAGGGGAGCAAACGGG
rnacentral:rRNA from 1 species